GGGGAAUAUUGGACAAUGGGCGAAAGCCUGAUCCAGCAAUGCCGCGUGAGUGAUGAAGGCCCUAGGGUUGUAAAGCUCUUUUACCCGGGAUGAUAAUGACAGUACCGGGAGAAUAAGCCCCGGCUAACUCCGUGCCAGCAGCCGCGGUAAUACGGAGGGGGCUAGCGUUGUUCGGAAUUACUGGGCGUAAAGCGCACGUAGGCGGCUUUGUAAGUUAGAGGUGAAAGCCUGGAGCUUAACUCCAGAACUGCCUUUAAGACUGCAUCGCUUGAAUCCGGGAGAGGUGAGUGGAAUUCCGAGUGUAGAGGUGAAAUUCGUAGAUAUUCGGAAGAACACCAGUGGCGAAGGCGGCUCACUGGACCGGUAUUGACGCUGAGGUGCGAAAGCGUGGGGAGCAAACAGGA
rnacentral:rRNA from 1 species